GAUGAACGCUGGCGGCGUGCCUAAUACAUGCAAGUCGAGCGAACAGACGAGGGGCUUGCUCCUCUGACGUUAGCGGCGGACGGGUGAGUAACAUGUGGAUCACCUACCUAUAAGACUGGGAUAACUUCGGGAAACCGGAGCUAAUACAGGAUAAUAUAUUGAACCGCAUGGUUCAAUAGUGAAAGACGGUUUUGCUGUCACUUAUAGAUGGAUCCGCGCCGCAUUAGCUAGUUGGUAAGGUAACGGCUUAUCACGGCAACGAUGCGUAGCCGACCUGAAAGUGAGGUCGCCCACACGGGAACAGAGAACCGGUCCACACUCCUGCGAGAAGCCACAGUCGAGAAUCUUACGCAAUAGGGGAGAGCUGUACGGAGCAACGCCGCGUGAGUGAUGAAGGUCUUCGGAUCGGAAAACUCUGUUGUUAGGAGAGAACAAAUGUGUAAGUAACUAUGCACAUCUUGACGGUACCUAAUCAAAAAGCCACGGCUAACUACGUG
rnacentral:rRNA from 1 species